rnacentral:rRNA from 1 species
UGCGUAGGUGGCAAGCGUUGUCCGGAAUUAUUGGGCGUAAAGCGCUCGCAGGCGGUUUCUUAAGUCUGAUGUGAAAGCCCACGGCUCAACCGUGGAGGGUCAUUGGAAACUGGGAGACUUGAGUGCAGAAGAGGAGAGUGGAAUUCCACGUGUAGCGGUGAAAUGCGUAGAGAUGUGGAGGAACACCAGUGGCGAAGGCGACUCUCUGGUCUGUAACUGACGCUGAGGAGCGAAAGCGUGGGGAGCAAACAGG